rnacentral:rRNA from 1 species
ACGGAAGGCAGCAGUGAGGAAUAUUGGUCAAUGGGCGGAAGCCUGAACCAGCCAAGUCGCGUGAAGGAAGAAGGUAUUAUGUAUUGUAAACUCCUUUAGCAGCAGAGAAAUAAGGUGGACGUGUCCACUGAUGCUAGUAUGCUGAGAAUAAGCAUCGGCUAACUCCGUGCCAGCAGCCGCGGUAAUACGGAGGAUGCGAGCGUUAUCCGGAUUUAUUGGGUUUAAAGGGUGCGCAGGCGGUCUUUUAAGUCAGUGGUCAAAUCGUGGUGCUCAACGCCAUCCCGCCAUUGAUACUGGGAGACUUGAUUGCGGUUGAGGUAGGCGGAAUUCGUCGUGUAGCGGUGAAAUGCAUAGAUAUGACGAAGAACACCGAUUGCGUAGGCAGCUUACCAAGCCGUAAAUGACGCUCAUGCACGAAAGUGCGGGGAUCGAACAGGAUUAGAUACCCUGGUA